rnacentral:tRNA from 4 species
GCUAUUUUGGCAGAUAAGUGCGUUGGAUUUAGAAUCUUUUAAUGUGAGUUUUACUUACAGGUAGUA